rnacentral:lncRNA from 1 species
UUAAUAAGAUAGGUAGCAGUUAAUAGACAAUCACCCCAGAAAGAAAUGGGUAAACCAGACUGGAAAAGUAAAGCUCUACAAGUUUCAAGAAGAGAUCUAUGUUUCCUCUCAACAACACCAUUCUGUUGGGGAGUAUGUGGGCAAGAGGUUAAAGCUCUACAGGUUUCAAGAAGAGUUCUAUGUUUCCUCUCAACAACACCAUUCUGUUGGGGAGUAUGUGGGCAAGUGGUUUGGUGUAUGAUGCCAUGUUGGUUAAAAAGGAUGUACCAGCAAUGCUAGAUCCCAAUUCUAAAGCAUUCUCACUCCUAACAGUUUGUACAUUUGCAUUGAAUUGGGUCUUGACCAUACAGAGAAACGAUUGAAGCAUACAGAAAGCAUAGGUUUUAGACCCUAACAAAUGUGUCCAGGUUGCCCUAGAAAAGUCAUCAACUAUUGUGAGAAAAUAUCUAGAACCAGAAGAGGUGGGAUUACGAUAAGGUCCCCAAGUAUAAACAUGAAUCAACUGAAAAGGUUUAGAUGUACUAGUAGUGCUUUCAGGAAAGGGAAGUCUAGUUUGCCUGGCCAUAGGACAGGUAGAGCAUUGAAAAGGCUGUUUAGAAGCAAAUGGAAAAGGUAAAGCAGAAAUGUGUUUCAUGUUCACAAAAGGUAUAUGGCCCAACCUUAAAUGCCAAAUGUAAUUCAUGUCUGUGGUAACAGUAUUAUUACACAUGGGACUGUUUACAUUCAAAGGCAAACCAACAGCUUGAUUAAUAGAAUAGGCAUGUUUACAAGAAUUAGAAGAAGAAGAACAUACAGAAACAGAAGAACCACAAUUUGAAGAAGAUGAAGGUGGCGCCCAAACAAGCUUGUACAGACCAGCCUCCUCUUU